GAUAUCAUCAUAUACUGUAAGU
rnacentral:piRNA from 1 species